CGGAAACAGUUCGCAGACAUUUGCCAUCUCAGAGCCCAGAGCAGGACAGGAGCUCUGAGCACACACUUGGACUCUUUCCCCCGGAGAGGGGAACGUUUACUCUGCCAGAGUAUUUCAGUUGACUGUGGCUCUUUGGCCAGCAUCAGUCAAUGUCAGGUGAAUGGAGUUGCCAGUGAAAGCAUCAGAGCUGGCCUUGAGCACAUGAAGUAAAGGAAGCAAACUGGGAGGGCAGAGUACGGCGGUGACCGGAACGCAGAACGUGGCGUCCACGUAAGAACGUCAGACACUUCUCACCACAGAAUAAUCAAGGCUGGUGACUUCAGAGUUUGCCCUGGGAAUUUCUGAAGAUUGGAAUUUCUUCAUGCAGCCAGAAUCUAUCACUCAAGUGGUGACUACAACAUGUGCUCAGGAAAGUCCCGUGCACAAGACAAGGACAUCCAGUUCUGUUUUAAAACCAAGCUUGGAGUAGACCACACAGACAGCUCACCCACCCGCAUCGCCCCUGGAGCACGUCCAGCCUUCUGGUCCCUCGGUGGGUGCUUUUCUGUCUUCUAGGAAAGGAGACAAUCUAUAUGGAGAUCAGGAAGUCCCUAACGGCGCUGUAGUCUGACCUGAGUAGCUGACCUUGCAGGUUUAAACUCUUGAAGGAGCUGUUGGUUUUCAGUCAAGCCUCCGUCUAUAAUUUUAUCCACCAGUUUCCCAAUUAACUUCACUAAGAUGACCAGAGGUGUGUGCGUGUGUUGAAGUAAUAAUUAUCAG
rnacentral:lncRNA from 1 species